UGCACAAGAAGUUUGUGUGAUCUUGAGUGAACUGAAGCACAAAAUUGAGGAGAAUAAUCUGUCUGAACAAAGUUAUGGGGUUCCUGAGGUGUCGUUGCCAACAUUGCGGCUGAUUCUGAAACUGAGGAUAUUGGCUUGUCGUUUGGAAUCACCAAUAAGCAGCAGUCUAAACCAAUAGCCGACAUCUUGUUGGUGAGAGAUGGAGAUUCUGCUAGGCUGUGACUCAAUGGCUCCAAUUCUAGAAGAAGCAUCAAUUGGAUCCUCUGGUGGAGGUUCAGUUUCCUCACGCUGCACCGAAACAAACCCUUAAUCUUUUAUGAGCUUAGAGGAGGCUUAUUAACCAAGCCCAGUUUCCAUUUCGGAAUUAUCAUUCAAAGGAGAGAUUUCAUCCGACUCUGAAUGCCUUGAGGGUGUCAGUGCUGGCAACCAUGGUUUACAGAUGUAGCUUCAGUUUCUUAAAUCAGAGUCCCUAAAGGCAUACUCUGAAGGGCCUGAAAUGAUCAUCUUUGGGCUGCAUAUAAUCUCCUGUCUUCUCAUCUCUGUUUUUGAAAAAUAAUUGCUCCAAAUCACAUUUUGCAAAUAUCUUCUCAAAUUUAGCUUUUCAAAUAAUUCCAACUCUCUCAUUUUUCAUCUUUAUGGUUUUUAGGUUCCAAAAUCUCAUUUUCAAUAAAAUUUGGUUGCCAUUUUCUUUUCGGCAAACCACUUUUGCAUUUUCUUUGUUUUUUCAAAUGUUUUUAAAAUAAGUAAGAAUCAAAUUCCGUAAUUCCAAAUAAUGGUAUUUAUGGAAUUAAUUCAUGCAAAAAUGAACGGGCUUUGGUGGGGGCCCCACAUACUUGACUUCAUGAUUGAUUGACUAAUCGAUUGAUUUAUUUGCCAUGCAUGAUUGGUUUACUCUAUUCCUUGAUAUGCGCUUAAUUACAUCUGUUCAUUGUUCACUAAUCCUGUUUCAUGAUAGCGCAUUUGUCACUGGAGGUCCAGGUACACACUCAUUCUCAUUUUGAUUAUUCUCUAUGCAUGCUCUUAUUUUCAUAUGUGCAAGUUUGAUUUGAGUAUCCGCUGAUUUCCUCAUUGAUUGCCAUGUCAGCUUCAGUCUAUUAGUAGAAACCCGAUUUUAGGGACUUAGAGGGGUGCUACGGUUUUUACCGUACCUUCCCAAUAAGUAACCUGACCCCCGAACCCGAUCCGGUUUUCACAGACCACCUUUUCCAAAAAUCAGGAGUCACACUUAGGGUUUAUCUUUCUUAUUUUGUUUACCCUUUAAAAAUAAAACAAAAAUAAGUGGCGACUCCAAGUCAUUUUCUUAAUCAAUAAAAAUCAUUUUUUCAAAUAAAAUGAAAAUCGAGUUUCGCCAUCGAGUGGGGGAACGCAUUCGAGAGAUCGAAAUGCGGGGUCCACAAGUACAAAAAUGUAACCCAUUGUGCGUGAACUUCUUGAAUAGAGAAUUUGUAUUUGCAACUCAUUUAAUAGCAAAAAUUCCAACACUAAAUUUGGUAUAAAAUACUCAAAAUAAUUAGAUAGUAAACAUGUUCCUUAGUAAAAAAAAAGAGAAAGAAAAAAGAAAAAAAGAAGAUUAUUUAAAUAUUUUUUAAAAGUUAUGUACGUCUUUUAGAAUUCAUUUUAAAUAAAAUAUUAUUAAUCAGUAUUUUUUUAGAAAAAAUAUUAUUUAUUUUAACAAAAAACAUAACUUAUAUUUUUAUUAAAAUAUGAACAUUCAUGUUGUAUACUCUUGGUUCUCACUACACUAUUGAAUUGCUACUUAUCAAAAUUGCAAUUAAUCAAAUUACACCACAUGUGUGUAGAUCCCAUUAUUUCAAACAUUGUAUUGUUUUAUACAUUUGUUUCAUCCUUUAGUACUUCAAUUUCAUUGUUUAUACCUAUUUCUAUUUUUUUAUACUUAGGUCUUAUUAUUUAUACAUUUAUUUAAGGAUUUCGAUUUUAACAUAUAUUUUUAGUGAUUUUGAUUAAAUAUAUCCCAUAAUAACAAUAACAAUAACAAUAAUAAUAAUAAUAAUAAUAAUAAUAACAUUCUUAUUUUAUUCUUUAUCUUGAAUAUAUAUUCAGAAAUAUUGACAAACUGGCCCUAAGCAAUUAGGUUACCAAUUUUUCUUCUUUUUAAUAAAUAAUUAUAACCUUAUCAAUUGGAAAAUUGUGACGAAAAGAUUAUUAGUAUUCAUUAAAGAUGAGUAGGUCAAAGCAUGGACUAAGACUAGUCCGGCCACGUCGCCAACCACAUCUUCGUAAAUCCUGUGGCAUCCCCAAAAGGGAUUUUGCAGUACUGCCCUCACUGUAAGACCUUUGCUCUCUCCUCUCCAAAGACGCUCAUACGGCGGACUACGAAAGGUACUGGAAAGUGAGACGACUCUGCCGUAAACUUCGUGAAGGCCCAUUACAGAGAAUUAGUAUUUACAACGACACAGUCCCCCACAUGGUCGCUCACUCCGAACAAAAAAAUCUGGUACUCGAAUUGCUGAAGAUGUUGCCUGCAGACGGCAACCAUCAAUUUUCCGAUAUAGAAAACAACGACGGCAACACUAUACUCCACGAAGUAGCCACCAGCAACACCACGAUCAGUGUGGCGGAGGAGUUGUUGAGGAGAGAUGCUCGUAGGAACCCAAACGGACUUGGAAUUAUGGGCCUGGGCCAUAAGGCUAAAAACUAAGGGCCUUAUUAGAGGGCCUGUCCAGAAUGUUUUGACCCAAGAAGAAACGGGGUAAGACACAUGGGAGCUAUGGGAGGAAACCAUCUGAAGUAGUGGGAGCAGUUAGCCCAAAGUCAGGAAUCGAGUGAAAAUGGCGAAGUGGAAAGCAGAGUGGCAGAGGAUGCCCCCAUUACUCCGCCCUCGUCGAUAAGCAGAGAAGCAUAUAAGAUCUCAAUCAUGGAAUGAGAAGGUUAGUGUUGGAAUUGGGUGGGUGCCCAAGUUGGGUUGACCCAACCCGAUCCAAUAUGUCAGAGAUAUGGGGGGAGUGGUUUCUAGGAGUUGGAACUGUCAAAAAUUGCUCAGAAACCUCCCCACUAAAGAUAUAUAUAUAUAUAUAUAUAUAUAUAUAUAUGAAAAUUUUGUCUCUUACUCAAUCUCUCUGGCUCUCCGACUCUCGCAUUUUUUUUAAAAAAAGAAAAGGAUAGAGAGAACUUCGAAAAGAAAAGUUCUCUAAAGAGUAGGUUAAAGGUUUUUGUGCCAUGAAACUAGGUGGUUCCCAAUUUGACUGUGCAAUCCGAAGUUUUUUUUUUUUUUUUUUUUUUUUAUAACAAUGGUAUCAGAGCAUGUUGGUUUGUUUUAUUUUCUUUUGAGAAAGAACAUAGUUUCUUAUUCGGAUUUUUUUUAGAAAGAAGAGUUAUCAUAAAUAAAAUAAAAAAAUAAUAAUGGAUGCAGUGAGUAAUAAUAUCCAAAGACUAGAUAUCUAUAGGGAAAUGGAAAGAGGAUAAUAUCUAAUAAUGAAGUUAUAUCCAAAGACUAGAUAUCUACAGGGAAAUGGAAAGAGGAUAAUAUCUAAUAAUGAAGUUUAUUGGUAAUAUCCGAUAACGCAAAAUUGGAUAUUAUAAUUUAAAAACAAAAUAAAAUAAAAUUUUGAAUGAUGGGAUGAGACAAUAGUCCUAGACUCAGGCAAUUAAAAAAAAAAGACAUUUAAACUCAAUAAAUUCUUUAAACUCUUCUACGAGUCAUUUUUGUAAUAUUUUUUAGAAACACUUUAGCCUAAAAGGUGUGUUUGAAGGAGAAUUACAUCAUUGUUAUUUUUUUGUGACACAUUGAAAAAUGGGCUAUGCUUCAUGGGAUCCUACAAAAAAGAAAAAGAAAAAAGGGAGAACUAUUUGGAUGCCUUAAGCAUGUGUGAGGCAAGGGGUAAGCCAAUAGUGUGCUGAAAUUGAUAGUAACAAAUCCAUCUUCUUGUGGAUCCUUUGAGGGUUGUUUUUACUAUUAAGUGGUAGGGAAUGUACAUUUCCUACAAUCAUCAUCAUUUUGCAGCAUGAUGAAUUCUUGGCGAAGUGUGUGGACAAAAUAUUCAUCUCCUCAUUCAUAUGCCUCUCCCUGUAUCCCAUUCUAAAUGCCUCCUGAUCGCCAUUUUCUAGUAAGUUUUUAAUUUUUAAUUUUUCAUUUUCACAUACCCUUUCAUCACCAUAUACAUAUUAUUUACUUGAAUUGGUGUACUGCCAAAUAAUUUAGAGGUUUGAGAGUGAUUUUCAUAACAAUAUUUCUUUAGUCUAUAAAACUCAUCUUGAUAAUACUUGCAUUACUUUUAAAUGAUGUUUGUCAAAUAAAAAGAAUGGUUUGAUAUGGUUUAAUGAUUUAAAUUAGUACAUUUAGUAUGGUUGAUAAAAUAACUUAAAAGUAGUAAGUUAAAAUAAUUGUCUUUUUCUAAAUUACAAGCAUCCUUUACCAUAAUAGGUUAUAUUUGUUUCUUCUCUUGUUUCUCUCUCAUAAGAAUGCAAAUAUGUCAAUUUAAUAGUUAAAAAAAGUCUUUUUUUUAGCUUUAUGAAAUAACUUUAGUAUUUAAAGUAAAAAAUAGAUAAUAAGUAAUUUACUAAUAAGAAUUAUAUCAUAAGUUUUAAGUAAAUAAUAUUAGUCUAAUUUUAAUAAAAUUUAUAUCGAGUCAUCAAAUAUUAAGUAUUAAGUUUUAUCAAACACCAAUUUAUAAAUAAUCUAUUAGGCUACAUUUGGUUGGCAGAAUAUGAUAGGAUAUGAUAUGUAUAUCAUGGGAUAUCAUAUCCCAUUGAAUAGGAAAUAGAUAUCUUGGGAUAUGAUUUCCAGUGGGAUAUGAUAUAUUUAGAUAUGCAUAUCUUAUGGACAUAAUAUUUUAAAGUAGUAUAUGUUGGCGUGAGCUGUCUAAUUAGAUAAUUAGAGAAAAUCUAUUAAUGUAAAUUCCAUACUUCAAGCGUGAUCCACAAUUUCUGCCACAACCCGUGUAUAGGCUAGAAUAAGUUCCCAAAUUCCUUUGCUCUGUAUCUAUAUAAUAUAGUAUUCAACUCAAAUAAAAGAAGAAGGAAAAAACCUUCCAAAUUGACAUGGUAUCAGAGCCACGCCGGACCCACAGCUUCGUUUGCACCAGCUCUGUGCAUCAGUGGACUGCGUCUUCGUCGUAGUCUCCACAGACCUGGGAGACGACGUCGAAGUCAACCCCAGAUCCUCUCUAGAGUUCGUCGGAGACGACGUUCCAACACCAACGGAUUUUCCAACUGGCGGGGCCUGCACUCUCGGUGCAUCAGCGAAUUGCGCCUUCGUCAUAGUCUCCACAGACCUGGGAGACGACUUCGAAGUCGACCCCAGAUCCUCUCCAGAGUUUGUCGGAGAUGACCUCGGCAGAUUUUCCAAUUAACAGGGCCUACACCAUUGCCGACUUGGUCAUUUUUUGUGGUGUCGCUUGACCAGGAAAGAACCAAGACCCAAUAGAAUCCAUGGCGGAAUCCGGAGACCUAGCACAAUCUCUCAUUCCCCAAACCAACUCCAUCCUUAACGAUUUGAUGACAAAAAUGACGGAGGUCUUGACUCAAGCCCAAACCUCUCCUCAACCUCUGCUUGCCGAUUCCUCAACUGCUCCGAUCGAUAUCAAGUUGGAAGGAUCCAACUAUGCCUUAUGGUCAUAGGUUGUCGAGAUGUAUAUCUCUGGCAAGGAUAAGUUAGGAUAUAUUAAUGGAGAUUCCCCUCAACCGCCAGAAACUGAUCCUUCACUCAGGAAAAUGGCGAACCGAAAACGCCAUUGUCAAGGGAUGGUGGAUCAAUUCGAUGGACCCUUCCUUGAUUGCCAACUUUAUCCGCUUCCCAACUGCAAAAUAGGUUUGGGAUUCUACUACUACAACCUAUUUUGAUGGGACAGAUUCAUCUCAAGUCUAUGAUCUCCGGCGUCGUGUUACUCGUAUGAAGCAGGGGGUGGAUCCAUUGAAAAAUACAACAACGAUCUUCAAGGGUUGUGGCGAGAAAUCAAUUUUCGUCGUCCUAACCCGAUGGAGUGUGCUAUUGACAUACAGAAAUACAACUCGAUUCUACAAGAAGAUCGGGUUUAUACUUUCCUUGAUGGACUAGAUGAUAGAUUGGAUAAAACUCGAAGUGAUGUGCUCCAAUUAAAACCAUUCCCUACAGUGGAAUAGGCCUACGCUUUUGUUCAUAGGGAAGAUGUCAAGCAGGCUGUGAUGAUCUCAGGUACAGAUACCACUCUUGGAGGAGUUAUGAUAUCCAAAGGGAUCAAGGGAAGCCACUACCAGACAACACCGAAACCAAGGACUCUUUCUCUAAGCAGGGGAAAAUCCAAAACCAAACCACCAUUUGAUGGCAUGAAGUGUACACAUUGUGGCAACUCCAAACAUACCCGUCACACCUGCUUCAAACUACAUGGGUAUCCAGAUUGGUGGAAUGAUUUUCAAGCACGAAAAAAACGUGAAACCUCUACUAAUGAUGACCACACUGGGAGAGCUGCUGUGGUUACUUGUGAUCCUUCAUUAUCCCUCAUCCCUCAAGUAGAAUCUUCACAUGAUCCAGGUACUUCUGGUACUUCUGGUAAGGCACUUCAUAUCUCUACUCACAAUAAUGAUGAUGACUGGAUUCUCGACUCUAGUGCUACAGACCACAUGACAUUUGAUUCAAAUGAUUUUUCUAAUGCAACUCAGCCGAGAUGGAGUUGUGUUACAAAUGCCAAUGGGGUCACUUAUCCGGUUACAAGGGCUGGAACAGUGACUUUAUCUCCUUCCCUUUCAUUAUCUAAUACAUUACUUAUACCUUCUCUUUCAAAUAGACUGAUGUCUGUGAGUCAAGUUAUUGCGGAUCUUAAUUGUGUAGUAGUAAUGUACUCUACUUUUUGCCUUCUUCAGGAUAUUCUCACCAAGGAGAUAAUUGGGCAUGGUACUAAGAGGGAGGGAUUAUACUACGUUGAUGACUUCAGUUCGGGAAGAGCAAAUCACAUGCACCACACGGUUAG
rnacentral:lncRNA from 1 species